rnacentral:lncRNA from 13 species
AUGAACUGUAAUACAUAUAAUUUUAUGACUACAUCAAACGCUUGCUGUGGAGAAAAGGAACUGUUUAUUGAAAAGGCAGAUUGCCAUUGGCCUUCUUGGCCACCUGGGCACACCCUGGCUCAUGUUCAGCUGCUGGCACCAGCACCCCCAGGUCCUUUUCCUGUGGGCAGCUUUGCAGCCACUCUGCCCCAGCCUGUGGCACUGCCUGGGGUUGUUGUGACCCAAGGGCAGGACCCGGCACUGGGUCUUGUAGAACCUCACACCACAGGCCCUGGCCCAUCGAUCCAGCCUGUCCAGAUCCUUCUGCAGAGCCCUCCUACCCUCCAGCAGAUCAGCACUCCCACCCAACUUGGUGUUAUCUGCAAACUGACUGGUGCACUCAAUGCCCUCAUCCAGGUCAUCCAUAAAGACAUUAAACAGAACUGGCCCCAGUACUGAGCCCUGGGGAACACUGCUGGUGACCGGCCACCAGCUGGAUGUAACUCCAUCCACCACCACUCUCUGGGCCUGGCCAUACAGACAGGUUUUUACCCUGUGAACAGUGUGUCUGUCUAAGCCAUGAGCAGAGAGUUUCUCCAGAAGAAUGUUGUGGGAAACAGUGUCAAAGGCUUUACUAAAGUUCAAGUAGAGAUAUCCACAGCCUUUUCCUCAUCCUCUAAGGUUGUCACCUGGUCAUAGAAGGGAUCGGGUUGGUCAAGCAAGACGUGCAUUUCACAAACUCUUGAUGGCUAGGCCUGAUCCCCUGGUUUUCCUGUAAAUUGGUGAUUAGUCCUGAGGCCUGUAUAGGGUAGUAAUGAAAAGUAAUAAUUUACUGCAGUUUUCCUGGAUAAGUGAGUAGCGUGAAACUUGAGCUAGCAAAAGAGAUUUUGCUUAACAACACAUAUUGGAAUCGAUUUUGCCUCUUUGAUUCAGAAACUUGGGCUGGGAUUGGAAGUCCGUGAAGCCGUAACUCAAUGUUUUCACCUUUUGCUUUUUCCCCAUUGACUUUUUCCUGAAGGAACAGGUAGAUAAUGUUGCUCUGUUAAAAGAGGCCAGAGAUCAAAAUGCUGCACAAACUGUCCCUGUCUUGCAGCAAAGUUACUCAAGAAAUAAUUCCAAUAGUCACACUGAAUUGAACAUUUAGUAGUUGGUUGUUGUCUCUCCUUAUGAUAGGUGAGCCAGAGUCUGGUUACCUGGGGGAUCUCCGUAUACCAUAAACCUUGAAAUCUAGCAAAAUGGGUGGUUUCACAGAAAUUACUUUUCAGAACUUAAUCAUAUUGACAUUCACAAAUGGUACUAACAUGUCUAAAGGCUAAAGGGACUAGUGGGGAGGUCACUACCACACCGCCACAGCAGAACUGUCAGGCAUUUUGGGUAUCAGGGGCUGAAGACCCACAAUUUCUUAUCUUAGUAUGAGUAGGCAGAAAAUCUGCACCGUGAUUAUGUUGAAGCUGCAGCAGUGUCCGAUAUAACUAUGGAUUCACAAAAAGUGAGUCUGGAUCAUGAAGAGACCCUGUCUCAGGUCUG